rnacentral:rRNA from 1 species
GACGAACGCUGGCGGCGUGCCUAAUACAUGCAAGUCGAACGAGAGCGCCCGGUGCUUGCACUGGUCAAUCUAGUGGCGAACGGGUGAGUAACACGUGGGUAACCUGCCCAUCAGAGGGGGAUAACAUUCGGAAACGGAUGCUAAAACCGCAUAGGUCUUCGAACCGCAUGGUUUGAAGAGGAAAAGAGGCGCAAGCUUCUGCUGAUGGAUGGACCCGCGGUGCAUUAGCUAGUUGGUGAGGUAACGGCUCACCAAGGCCGUGAUGCAUAGCCGACCUGAGAGGGUGAUCGGCCACAUUGGGACUGAGACACGGCCCAAACUCCUACGGGAGGCAGCAGUAGGGAAUCUUCCGCAAUGGACGCAAGUCUGACGGAGCAACGCCGCGUGAGCGAAGAAGGUUUUCGGAUCGUAAAACUCUGUUGUUAGAGAAGAAUAAGUGCUAGAGUAACUGUUAGCGCCUUGACGGUAUCUAACCAGAAAGCCACGGCUAACUACGUG